rnacentral:rRNA from 1 species
UACAGAGGGUGCUAGCGUUGUUCGGAAUCAUUGGGCGUAAAGGGCGUGUAGGCGGUUUGUUAAGUCAUGUGUGAAAUCCCUCGGCUCAACCGGGGAACGACGCAUGAAACUGGCAAGCUAGAGUACCAAAGAGGGGGGUGGAAUUCCCGGUGUAGCGGUGAAAUGCGUAGAUAUCGGGAGGAAUACCAGUGGCGAAGGCGGCUGCCUGGCCUGUUCUUGACACUGGGGCGCGAAAGCUGGGGGAGCAAACGGG